AACGAACGCUGGCGGCAUGCCUAACACAUGCAAGUCGAACGAGACCUUCGGGUCUAGUGGCGCACGGGUGCGUAACGCGUGGGAAUCUGCCCUGGGGUGCGGAAUAACUCGGAGAAAUCCGUGCUAAUACCGCAUAAUGUCUUCGGACCAAAGAUUUAUCGCCCUGGGAUGAGCCCGCGUAGGAUUAGCUAGUUGGUGGGGUAAAGGCCUACCAAGGCGACGAUCCUUAGCUGGUCUGAGAGGAUGAUCAGCCACACUGGGACUGAGACACGGCCCAGACUCCUACGGGAGGCAGCAGUGGGGAAUAUUGGACAAUGGGCGAAAGCCUGAUCCAGCAAUGCCGCGUGAGUGAUGAAGGCCCUA
rnacentral:rRNA from 1 species